rnacentral:lncRNA from 1 species
AUGGAGCACACCAAAGCGCCUGAACCCAAACUUUUCCAAAGCGAGGAAGAAACCGGCUCUCUGGGUGAGGAGGAAGCUGACAGGCUGGAUGAAGGGAGCGAAGAUGAAAAUCAAGAGUUUUUCGACGCCCCGGAACCGGCCCCGGGCUCAGCCGCCUUCCUCCCCUCGCCCUUUCCCGAGCAACAGACGUGUGAGCAGGAGACUGCGGAUCCGGCAUACCUCGACUCGGUGUUCGGCGAACUGCCUCCGCAGUUGAGGGUUAAAGCCGACCCCACCUUCACGCGGCCGCCCGGCCCCAAGAGGAGGGCGAAGGUCAAGCACUUGACCCUGUUCCCCAACGCGGAGUGUCCUGACGCCCCUGACAACGAUGGCCCCGGAGUGGUGGAAUGGAGCCAGCGUCCCGGCCAGUGGAAAUGAUCUGGGAAAGGGGCCUGCGUCACUCGACG